GUUAGCUGAGAAUUGGGUAAACAUUUAAAUUGUUCAAAUUUACAAAAUUAAAGUUUUCGUCUGUAUAUGAAAAUAAAAAAGCGAAAGUAAAAUUGUGUCACAAACUUAUGUAGACUAAGUUUGCGAGUAGUAAGCUAUAAAUAAACGAACAAACAAAGAUUUGAACAUACCAAAUUGCGCUGUUGCGUGUACCACGUCAUAUUUGGUUUCUUUAUUGUCCGCCUCUCGAGAGCCGUCGAGCAAGCGACUGAAAACAUGGGUCUUGAAUGGUGGCUCUUCAUAAAACCAUUAACACCCACUGGCCACAUUGGCAACCGAGCGACGGAAUCCCAGGACUGACUAGAGUUCGUCAGAGAGAACCAAAAAAAAAAAAACUCACUUAGACGGUGAAAUCUGUGUUGGAACGAGUUUCUGGUGUAAAAAUAUAAAUUUGCUUUUAUGCCCCUUUGGUAAUGUUUUAAUAAAAAGAGCACUGCUCAUGGA
rnacentral:sRNA from 1 species